UGGGGAAUAUUGGACAAUGGGCGAAAGCCUGAUCCAGCCAUGCCGCGUGUGUGAAGAAGGUCUUCGGAUUGUAAAGCACUUUAAGUCGGGAGGAAGGGCAGUAAGCGAAUACCUUGCUGUUUUGACGUUACCGACAGAAUAAGCACCGGCUAACUCUGUGCCAGCAGCCGCGGUAAUACAGGGGGUGCAAGCGUUAAUCGGAAUUACUGGGCGUAAAGCGCGCGUAGGUGGUUCGUUAAGUUGAAUGUGAAAGCCCCGGGCUCAACCUGGGAACUGCAUCCAAAACUGGCGAGCUAGAGUAGGGCAGAGGGUGAUGGAAUUUCCUGUGUAGCGGUGAAAUGCGUAGAUAUAGGAAGAAACACCAGUGGCGAAGGCGACCACCUGGGCUCAUACUGACACUGAGGUGCGAAAGCGUGGGGAGCAAACAGG
rnacentral:rRNA from 1 species